CUUGCAGGAAAAACUUGAAUUUGAGACUAGCCUGGGCUACAUAGUGAGGCCCUGAUACAAAAGAAGAAAAUGGAAAUAAAAAGGGGAGAAGGAAGGCAGGAAGGAGCUGAGGCCUCCUGGCCCCGUAUAGGAAUCAUAUAACAGUCAGCAUCAAGUUAAACAGGCCACCACUGAAGUCAUUUCUAGAAAAUCAAACCUACUUCUUCAUUUAGCUAAUAUUUAUCCUCUAUUUAACAAUUCCAAAGCUGCUGGCAUCCUGGGUGCUGGGGACAUUAUUCCCAUGCAACCUGCCUUCUGGUUUAACCUUUUGAGGGAUAUGAUGGAUUGCCUGAAAUGUCUAGAUGCACCCUGGCUGUCCUCAGGCCAUGCAUAUGUUUAUUUACAGUUGGGAUGGCUCAUUGCUGUUCUGGCUGGCUGGGCUGUAAUUUGCUGAGGCACUUAAGCUUCACUAUUGGAGGAAAAAAAAAAAAAAAACAACAAAACCAACCACAAAACAGCUUUUCUGCUAGCCCUAAUUUGUCUGUAAUGUUUGUACUGAAGAUUGUCUGGUUGGCCUAUUCAACUGAAAUGCAGCAGAAAUGUAAAAUAGAGCACAUGAAAGAAAAUAGGUAUAAAUCGAUAAUAAAUCCCAUCAAACGAAGAGAGCUUCUCUGGCAGCCUUGCAAAGUAUUUGCAUAACCUAAUUUCCCACACCGGGAUCUUUGCUGGUGUUUAAAUCUCUCCAACACAGAGAGUAGUUAUUUGUGCUCCUACUUGAAUAAUAGUUAUUUUAAAGUCACCUGAAUAUCCUAAUAAAUUUCUGUGUUCCGUUUAUCCUACAGCAUGAGACUAUGGAACACUGACCAAAGUCACUGUGCUGAAUUGGUGACUGAAUGCUUGUCCUUUCAAUGGAUGUCAGUUACCCUGAGUGCCUGGUUCUGUCCUGAGUGUUCUUGGGCCAAGGGAAGAAACCAUCGAGAACAAAUCAUGCAGAUUACAAGCCUUCAAAUUUUAGCAAGGCCAGCAGAUACAGUCAGAAGAACCGAGAAGAGUGUGAUAGUCUUCACUGCCACAUACUGCUUUUAUAGUGCUGGAAGGUGCUAUACCCACUACUGGAGGAGAAAAGUAUUCAUUCAUUUUAUCCAGCUGUGAACCCAUUGAGUAACAAUAACAACUGGUUUGGCAGGAUGUGCCUACUGGUACAAUAGUGGCAUCAGCAUCAUGGAAAUAACCAAUUACUUUCUGGUUAGAUUCAAGUGCUACGCUACAAGAUAAAAUAUAUUGAUGUAUCUCUCAAACCUCAUCAGAGAAGCAUCACUUUGUAGGAUAUGGUGAUUGACCCAGAGACCCUCAGCUGAUCAAGACAAACGGCAGGAAGGCCCCCACCCAACCUGAGUGCUCCUGUUUGGCGGAGAAGCUUCGAGUGCGUGUCUCAUUUUAAAUUCUGAAGUGCAAAUGUCAUGUAAUGAAAGUAUCAGCAAUGACUUAAAUGUGGUUAAAUAUGGAAACUCGGCAUAAAGUCAGUGUUUAUUUGCAGCCAGUGACAGUGAUAAGGGCAGGAGCUCUCCCGAUAAGUGGCUUUCAGCCAUCGUUAAUCGGCUGAUAGAUGGAUAGGAGAGAGGCUGGUCACAGAGGACGCCGUCUCACCCUCUGAAAUGGAACAGGCUUGUCCAUCUCACAGAGGGCGAGAAGGGGAACACGUGUGCUGCUGAUUCCAUUAUUCUGUUCGGAGGAGAAGGCAAAAAUCAAGAGACCUUGACCCGAAUCGUAUGGCAACACAGAGAUUCUCAGGAUGUCAGAGCUAGAUGGGGUUCUUGGUGAUCAUUUAGGCCAACCCCUGUGUUUUUAGCAGAGGAAAUUUCCAUGAGUAACUGUACACCAGCAUUUAUUAAUCAGUGCACAUGUAUCCAUUCCCUGCGUAAAACCCUUUGGCUGAUUGCCCAUUGCCCUUAAGGUGGGUCUUUAUAGCCAGGCCCCUUUUGGUCUGCCUUCUGCUUGUCUUGCUUCUUUUAUCUCUCUGUCUCUCCCUGUUUCAAUGAGACUGGGGGAGAAAUGGUCUCCAGGAAGGUUACACUGCUUGCUGGGGUAGUGUUUGCAAAGUUUUAGGUGUCUUUGGAUGCUAGCUAGCAGCACAACAUUUCCCCUGACACCCCCUCUCCCUCCCAACAAUGGCAGGCUGCUCUCUCCUUCUCCUUCUCUUCUUACUCCUCCCAUCACAGCCACACCACUAACACACUGGCCUACUCCCUCAUCUGUUCCCUACUUGACAGCCCAGAGCACUAUGGACCCACUAUUUGUAGAGAGAGCUCUGCAGAGUUGCCUGCAUACAGUAGGUACUCUACAUGGCUGUUGACUGAAAAGAUAGCUCAUUGCAUGCCAACCACAGUGGUAGAAAUCAAGAAUGUAAAACCUCGAAAGACACAGCCCUAUUCUGCAAGUCAGUCUAGUCCAUUCAAAUCAUUCAUAACUUUUGUCCAGUUUACCAAAUUUGAGGAUGGCACAUUUUCAUUAGUAUUGAAACAAAUCUUAAAAGGAUUUAGAAUUUCCCAUUAUUUGCAGCAAUGCUUAGGGAUACCGUUAGAACACAGAAACAGGGAGUUUUUAAGUAGGCUCCAAUUAAGCUGUCCUCGCCCAAGUGAUAAGAAAAGCUCAAGUUCAUUGUACAGAAGAACCACUUGCAGUGCAACCUGAAGAUAAAUAUUUAUUCUGUCUUAUCCUGCCUAAGAGACAAGCAUGAGAAAUAGGAGUCUGCAGAAUGUUAGGGUGUGGGAGGGACUUGGGAGAACCUAGCCAGUCCUCUUACUGCAAGCAAAAUGGUACACCAGAGGCAGGCAACUGGCUCACACAGAACCACGAGGCAAAUUAGUGGCUACCAUGGGCCCUGGUGCCCCACCCCAUGCUCCUUCUGUAACAAGAU